rnacentral:rRNA from 1 species
CCUACGGGAGGCAGCAGUGGGGAAUAUUGGGCAAUGGGCGAAAGCCUGACCCAGCAAUGCCGCGUGAAGGAAGAAGGCUUUCGGGUUGUAAACUUCUUUUGUCAGGGACGAAGCAAGUGACGGUACCUGACGAAGAAGCUACGGCUAACUCCGUACCAGCAACCGCGGUAAUACGUAGGUGGCAAGCGUUAUCCGGUUUUACUGGGUGUAAAGGGCGUGUAGGCGGGAAUGCAAGUCAGAUGUGAAAACUCAGGGCUCAACCCUGCGCCUGCAUUUGAGACUGUAGUUCUUGAGUACUGGAGAGGCAGACGGAAUUACUGGGGUAGCGGUGAAAUGCGUAGAUAUUAGGAGGAACACCAGUGGCGAAGGCGGUCUGCUGGACAGCGACUGACGCUGAGGCGCGAAAGCGUGGGGAGCAAACAGGAUUAGAUACCCGUGUAGUC